GGGGAAUAUUGGACAAUGGGGGCAACCCUGAUCCAGCCAUGCCGCGUGAGUGAAGAAGGCCUUCGGGUUGUAAAGCUCUUUGGGCGGGGAGGAAGGUUCGAUGGUUAAUAACCAUCGGAAUUGACGUUACCUGCAGAACAAGCACCGGCUAACUCUGUGCCAGCAGCCGCGGUAAUACAGAGGGUGCAAGCGUUAAUCGGAAUUACUGGGCGUAAAGCGUGCGUAGGCGGUUUGAUAAGCUGGAUGUGAAAUCCCCGGGCUUAACCUGGGAACUGCAUUCAGGACUGUUUGACUAGAGUCUGGGAGAGGGUGGUGGAAUUUCCGGUGUAGCGGUGAAAUGCGUAGAUAUCGGAAGGAACAUCAGUGGCGAAGGCGACUGCCUGGCCCAAGACUGACGCUGAGGCACGAAAGCGUGGGUAGCAAAC
rnacentral:rRNA from 1 species